GACGAACGCUGGCGGCGUGCCUAACACAUGCAAGUCGAACGGGGUGAUUCCUUCGGGGAUCGCUUAGUGGCGAACGGGUGAGUAACGCGUGAGGAACCUGCCUUUCAGUGGGGGACAACAGUUGGAAACGACUGCUAAUACCGCAUAACAUGUACGGAUCGCAUGGUCUGUACAUCAAAGCUUUAUGUGCUGAAAGAUGGCCUCGCGUCUGAUUAGCUAGUUGGUGGGGUAACGGCCCACCAAGGCGACGAUCAGUAGCCGGUCUGAGAGGAUGAACGGCCACAUUGGGACUGAGAUACGGCCCAGACUCCUACGGGAGGCAGCAGUGGGGAAUAUUGGGCAAUGGGGGAAACCCUGACCCAGCAACGCCGCGUGAAGGAAGAAGG
rnacentral:rRNA from 1 species